CCUACGGGGGGCAGCAGUGGGGAAUUUUGCGCAAUGGGGGAAACCCUGACGCAGCAACGCCGCGUGCGGGAUGACGGCCUUCGGGUUGUAAACCGCUUUCAGCAGGGAAGAAGAUCGACGGUACCUGCAGAAGAAGCUCCGGCUAACUACGUGCCAGCAGCCGCGGUAAUACGUAGGGAGCGAGCGUUAUCCGGAUUCAUUGGGCGUAAAGAGCGCGUAGGCGGCCUUUCAAGCGGGAUCUCUAAUCCGAGGGCUCAACCCCCGGCCGGAUCCCGAACUGGGAGGCUCGAGUUCGGUAGAGGCAGGCGGAAUUCCCGGUGUAGCGGUGGAAUGCGCAGAUAUCGGGAAGAACACCGAUGGCGAAGGCAGCCUGCUGGGCCGAAACUGACGCUGAGGCGCGAAAGCUAGGGGAGCGAACAGGCUUAGAUACCCCAGUAGUC
rnacentral:rRNA from 1 species